GAUGAACGCUGGCGGCGUGCCUAAUACAUGCAAGUCGAGCGAAUGGAUUAAGAGCUUGCUCUUAUGAAGUUAGCGGCGGACGGGUGAGUAACACGUGGGUAACCUGCCCAUAAGACUGGGAUAACUCCGGGAAACCGGGGCUAAUACCGGAUAACAUUUUGAACCGCAUGGUUCGAAAUUGAAAGGCGGCUUCGGCUGUCACUUAUGGAUGGACCCGCGUCGCAUUAGCUAGUUGGUGAGGUAACGGCUCACCAAGGCAACGAUGCGUAGCCGAACUGAGAGGGUGAUCGGCCAAGCUGGGACUGGGACACGGCCCAGACUCCUACGGGAGGUAGCAGGAGGGAAUCUUCCGCAAUGGACGAAAGUCUGACGGAGCAACGCCGCGUGAGUGAUGAAGGCUUUCGGGUCGUAAAACUCUGUUGUUAGGGAAGAACAAGUGCUAGUUGAAUAAGCUGGCACCUUGACGGUACCUAACCAGAAAGCCACGGCUAACUACGUGCCAGCCGCCGCAGUAA
rnacentral:rRNA from 1 species